UGGUGACCACCUCUUCUUGGAGAGUAAUUUUUCCCUCAGGACUAUAUAUAUCCAAUUUGAACAGUACCUGCAUCUUGCUAAACAAACUAUUGAAUGAAAUACAGUCCACGCAGUAGUUUCUGCUUGUUCUCUGAAGGAUAAAACUACACAGUUGCAGUUGUGUACUAGGCAGGUCUCAGGUUUAUGAGAAGAUUUCAAUGCAAAUGCAGGAUGGUUUUUUUCCGAUUUAUAUGCCAGGUGGUUUUGACUAACCAAUAUAUAGUGAAUAUUAUUAAGAAAACUGUGAGAUUGCAUUUCCCUGUGUCCUCUACAGUAUGUCCUAAAAUUGUAAUCUUACUCAGCUGCCAAGUCCACCUCCUGUUCUCUGUGGAUUAGUUAUUUAGCUUGGGUAUUAAGUAUAUCAGAAAAGCUUAAUCUAAGAGUCAUUAUAUGUGUUUUAAUAUUGAAAUUUGUCAUUGCCAAAUCAAAUUUUAAUAUUCUAAAAUAUGUUCAUCCCCUUCAACAGCAUGAUUAGCAAAUGUUUUGCAGGGAAAAUAGGUGGGCAGAUUCAGUACAUGGUUUUCAAAUAACAUGUUAUUCUGUCCUACUGCAAGUAAAAUGCUCAGAAUAUUUUUUACUGUUAUGAAAUAUUUUUUUAAAGGAUUAGGCCAGCAUUUCUGAAGAAUCUUGUAUGGGCUAGAAAGGCUGUCAGAUCCAUGCUUUUUUUGGCAAGAGAAAUCAGCCUUCCUCGAGCUCCAUACUGAGCUGCUGGUACACAAAUUAGCAAACAUAGACUCCAGUGCAAGUUAUUUCCUGCAGAACUAAUGUUACAACUUUUUUUAGAAAUUAUUAGAAAUUCUUGGUCAUAAAAACUUAUGGGCAUCAACUGAGAGAUGCAGUCAGCUUGUACACUUUGGCCAUCUGAAAAAUCCUCUUGUGAAAUCCCCUGGAGGCUCCUGGAUAAGCACAGGUAGGCUGCUUCUUUUAUAAAAAAUGAAAGAGACAGAGAUUUAAAUAAGCCUAGCAGGCUACAUGCCUAAUUGAUCACAAAGUGCAGAGAUGCCCCUCUUUGCUCUACUUAUUUGGCUUCAAAAUUACUGUAAUGGUUACUCUUUGUGACGUGUAUGAAUUGUCAAAAAUGGGAGAAGUUACUUAUUGUAUUUCCUAUCAUCACGCCCAACGACUAUUCCCUCUAUUAGAUCAAAAGUAUUUGUCCCUCCACUGUAUAUAUCUAUUCUCCAGGGCUACAAACUAUAGACCAAACUCAGCUCAAGUGUGGCACAGAAUUCAACUGAGAGGCACAAUGAUCUUGCCCACAUGGGACUUUGAUCUCCUGGGGCAAGACCACUUCCAGGAGCUAAGCUAGCAUGUGGCUGCACAGCACUGCAGUCUUCAGUGCAGAUAUAACCUUAGACAGAGAGCCAUGUAGCCAGAAAUUAAAGAAUCCUGUCUUGAAGAAGUUUCUGUAGUUUUGGGGUCCAUUCCGGGGAGGCUUCUGACUUCAGUUCUUGGUGUCAGGCAAUGCAGAGCAUGGAUGCUGUUAUUCAUCAAGUGGAUUUCCAUCUGCUGUCUCAAAAUCUAUGUUAUCAAACUGUAAUUUUAAAUCGACCCCAAAAAAUUUCAAUUAUUUGAGUACACUGAUUAAUUCUAAACAUAGAAUUAAGAUAAUUUAGUUUCCUGAAGAGUCUCAGCACUUCUCAUACACUCUUGCAUCACGUUGUUUCUCCUUUUUCUUGCCUUUUUAUGAAGAACUGAAGUCUGGGAAAUAAUAAUGAUGGUCAAAAGCAGUCCAAAGGUUACUUCAGUGAAGACAGAGGCCAAGGACAUUGUUUCAAAAGUAGGAGAAAAACCUCAGAUGCUACUUAAGACCCAGACUAGAGGAAACAAGUCAAGGGAACCGUAUGACAUCAGACAAGAGAGUGGAUUCAGACAAAAUAAGUGGAAGAAAAUGAGAGGAGAAAUGCUGGUGGGUAUGCAGAACUUUUGAGUGCUGUAGACAGGGAUGAUGAGUUUAAAGGGCAUAUGGUAAGAGACAGGGAGCCAAAGAAAUGAAUACGUCUAUGACGUUGGCUGGAAGAAGGUGAAAGAAAACUGAUUUAGGGGUCAAUUCAGAAUGUUUUUAGGAAUACAAUUGAAUCUAAGUACAUUUAUAGCUUCACAGAAAUCAAACAGAUGACUUGUAGUGAAAACCAUGUAUGCACCCAUGUACCCUGCUGAACUUGAGCUUUUAAUGAUAGCAUUUACACAGCUUUGAGUGAGGGUGGAGUUGGGCAAAAUACAUGGCCAGCAAACAGAAAAAUGGUAAUGCAAACUGCAUGCUAAAGGUAACAUAUUUCUCUAUGUUCCAGAGCUUCUUACUGACUUUUGUUCCCCUCUGCAUUAAUUUUACAUCUGAGUGAGAGCAGUCAAGUUUAAUCUAAAACUUCAGGUCUCUUAAGUUCCAGCUUUGAGGAUGUGCGAAGUUGUAGUUGGACUACACAACCCUUUUACUCUUCCACUGGUUCAAGUUUACUUGAAAGAUUCUUGAGCAGAGAGAAGUCUUUGACUCUGGUAGAUCUGUGGGUGCAACACAGUACUAUCCAGGCACAGAUCUUGGUGGAGCUGUAGUUCUGUUUCUUUUACUAUUUCCAUUUGGAAUAACAUCCUACAGACAAUGAACUAAUACAUUUUAAAUUCUGCAGUUUACUUUUCAUAGCAUCUGAUGAAUAUCUCUCUUUCCCCACCCUUCUAGUUUUAUCCUGCUACCAUCACUGUGUUUCCUGUGCACCAAACAUAGUUGAUGCUUCACAUACAACAGUGGAGUGUGCCUAAAGACAAAAGUCCUAACACAAACAUUUGCCUCCCUUCCUUGAGAUGUAUGUCAGUGAUGGAUCUACCAAGAUUCUUCAUGUUAGUGAAACUAGCCACUUAAAGAGGUGUUUGAGGAAUUGGGCAAAGACCUAGGAGUGUGACAUGCCAUAGUAAGACAUUGAAGUUAUAGAGUAAGUUAUAUAUCUUUUGUGUCAUAAAGAUUCAAUUAUUAAUGUAAUGAUAAUGCUCCUAUUUUCUAGUCCCAGACUUUACUAUUGACUUCCUAUUGUCUCUGUAGCCCCUUGUUUCUCAUGGCAACAUAAGUCUGCUUUUUCUGUCUCCUUUUCCUUCCUUAUAUAUCAGUGUGGGCCUGUGAGAGGAGUACAAGUUCAGGAAACAGGGUCUCUAAGCAAUGCUGAUGAAGUGUGAUGUUUGUGAUGGUGUUAAAAGAUGUUCCCUCUAUUGUCAUGGAGCCAUUUUCUUUCCAAGAAACCCUCCUGCUUUAUUAGCUCAGUAGAUGCUGGUAGGUGUUUGAUGUGACACCAGUUGUGGUUUAUGGAUAACUUUUUUUAAAAAAAAAUUCCUUUAAAACUCGAGCCUUUUGCUCAUGAAGUGGAUAGAUCAGCAAAGAGAUGCUAUUGCUAGGUGAAACUUCAGUUCCCUGAGAUUCUAGGAGUAUCUGAGGCACAAUAAAAUCUAUGGAAAAUAUAGAUUGACUUCAAUAAGACCGGGACUUUACUAUCAGUAUCCAAUUUUUACUGUAGUUAUGGUCCUCCUUACAAAUGUGCUUUGCCUGUGGAAGAGGCUUUUUGAAAAGCUUUCUGACCAGCCUUUCCAUCACCUGAAUGGUUACAGAUCAAAAGCUUGCACUGCUCUGACUAUGUAGAUUUACACAGUACUAAAAUGAGAGAGCUGAGUUCUGCAUCUGGAAAUUCAACUGAGAAGCUCCAUCAGAUGGUGCUGAGCUCUGUCAUUAAAGAAAAUGCCAGCCCUUCCCCAAGCCCCAGGAAUGGAAAUAAAUACAAAGGCCAGAGCUAGUCACAAAUCAUGUAAAUAGAUACAUUUUUCCCUGAAAAUGGCAUUAAUUAAAAAUAAAUAAACAAACAAAACCAUUUCAGCCCGAUUUAGUAAGAGCACUGAGCACUGCACAUUCCUUAAUCUCCUGAUUUCCUGCAUCCCAGUUCCCAUCGAGCCAGGGCUUCCUUUUCAUAGGAUGUUUUAUACAGGGCUGAUGUAUUCUAUUCGACAGAGAAAGAUAACUGUAGCCAUAAACAACUAUUUUACAUUUUGUAGCUGCUUUCUCAAUCACCUUUUGUAGGGUGGAUAAGUUACUGUCAUGUUUUGCUUCAUUAAAACAAAAGAAUAAGUUCCCUACAGACCAGGAAAAUAAAAGACAAAAAUCAGAGCUCAAAUUUCCAGUGUUCCCAGUGUGGACUCUGUUACAGAAAGACUUUUCAGACUUUUUAGAAAUACUUGAAUUUAAAAGACUGGAAAAAAGCUUUCCCAUGCCAGAGCUGGUGUGGCAUCUGUAGCCAGAUGUUAAGAUUAAUUUUGCAUUAUUGGUAAACUAGAAUUAAAAUACCCACAAAUCCAAUAAUCAGACUCUAUGAGUAAAUUGAGGCUCUGUAUACCAAGUCUGAACUUGGUAUUGUGGCAAAAAAAUUCCAGUGAAAUUGAUGAGUAUCUAAAAAGAAAUUAUCAGGACUGAGUGCAAAAGUGGUUGGAGUGUAAGUGAGACCUCAUUAAAAUGCUUCGUUCCUUUGGUUUCCUUCUCUCAUCAGUCUUCAUCUCUGGGAAAACUGCCUUUUCCUGACAUUGGUUACUAGAGCUCGAAACCUCUUGUUUCAGUGUCAGUACUAAAUAUGCAGAGCCUAACCCUGGUGGCUAUGCAAAGUGAAAUUCAUAUUAGAGUUCUGUGGAUCGAAAUUCUUUUAAGAAUAUUCCCCUCGAUCGUGCCCACCAAAAUUAACAAGGAAAGCCAUUCUAGGAAACUGUGUACAGAAAAUUCUAUUAAAACACUGUUACUUAAAAAGAGAUCUGAAGUAGAGAAUUUUUGUUCAAACUUCCAAUUUAAAUUCAACCUCUGUGUUAGGCAGGCUUUAUAAUGCCUGGAUUUACUUGCUUUUCAGAGGAUGAAAGCUUGCGUUCAUUUAUGCAAUACAUCAUGAUAGAGGAAAGGAUGAAGAGUAACACUGCAGAGAUGCACAUAUCUUUCUAAUUGGGUGCAACACAGAAUCAUAGAAUCAACUGGGUUGGAAAGGACCUCCGAGAUCAUCAAGUCCAACCCUUGAUCCAACACUGCUGUGGUUACCAGACCAUGGCACUAAGUGCCACAUCCAGUCUCAUCUCAAAAACCUCCAGAGACAGAGAAUCCACCACCUCCCUGGGCAGCCCAUUCCAAUGCCUGAUUACCCUCUCUGUAAAAAAUUUCUUCCUAAUAUCCAACAUAUUAGUUUCUUCUUCAAAUUGUCGAUGUGGUUUUUAUUUUGGUUUUUUUAUUGCCCCUGGGCACUUUCCCUCUGCUUUUGUACCUGCUCGUACUACGUCGGUUGUCAGUAUUUGGAGUGUUUGACAUUGCUGCUGCCAUUGUAAAUUGAAAGAUGGAACCAUGGGCCCGGUUGCUUUUAUAUGUUAUCCAGUUUUGAUCUUUUCAUCCACUCUUUGCCAAGUAAUGUCAGCCAUGAUUAUUUCUAACUUGCCAAAAUUCUGAACAGCUUUUAAACAGGUGACAUUUUCCUAUAAAAAGACUCUACCACAAGCAUGUUUCUUUUUCCAGACCCAAAUGUCACCUUUUCUCCCAUAAUUACAGUGGUCUAAGUGACACAUUUCUGGACUACUGACAGUUUUAAAGAUUUGCUGUUUGUCAGUAUUGCAAUUAUUGUGCAUUACCUUCUCCCUUCUGAGAGGAGUGAAAUUAUUUCCAUAGAUGUUGCUGCCUUUAUAGUUUUGCCUUUGAUUCUGCACAGUUGGCUCUAGACUAGAUCUAGAUUUGGAAGUUGCUGGGAAUAAUUUAGUGUCAGGCAAAUAAAUAUCUUUGGAUUAAGCUACUGUCACCACUUAGAUUAAAUCUUUCCUAAACCUUUUCCUUCUUGCCUGGAAGCAUUUGAAAAAUGUUUUAUCAUGGGUAGACUUUGUAGGCAAAUAUUUUUGUGCCCAGGGUCACUUGUGGAUGUUAACGACACCUCCCUUACAAUUAUUCUCUUGUGUGGGUAUAUCUCUUUCAAAUGUCUGCCCUGUGUAAGUCAGCUUUGUAUGAUGAUGCUCUACUUUAGCCCAUGGGCUGAUGACAGGGGGUCUGUGUACUUCUGCUGGUAUUCCACCUCUUCAGGUAGAGAAAGAGUAGGUUGAAAAUUAAGUCAAUAAACUAACUGCUGUCAUUUA